GCAAUAGAUAGGCUGAUUUUAUUUUAAUUUUAGUUUAUUUUAUGAAGUAGAGAAAGUGUUCUUUUUUUUAAUUAUUUUUUUAAAAAUGGUUAGAUAUCUCUGGACUGUUCCGCGCAAAUUAGGGUUUCGAGGGAACUGAUUGAGCUUUUGUCUGCUCUGUGCGGUUCAAGAUUUGCAUAAUUGAAUUUGGAUUGUGGCGUUAGCUCGUGUAUCGCUGUUGCUGAUCGGAUGGCUUCACGCCAUCUGCUUUUGAGAGGGAACUGGAGAUGGAGUAUUGAGUGGAUAUGUUUAACAAGAAGGUAACCGUAUGCGCUUGUGGAAGUAAUUCACACGCGAAAAUUGAUCAAUGCUUUGCUCUGAUUAAUUUCGUGUUCUAUUUGGUGUUUUUAAUGAUCGGAUUGUGGAAUUUAUGAACGCUGGGAUUGUCAUUGUUGGUUUAUUGUUUUAUGAGUUGCUGAAUUGUUUGGUAUAAGUUGAAGUGGAGAAGAUUUGCAGGAGUAUACUGAUGAAUUGAAUUCAGCAUAUGGACCGCAGAGCUAUUGUUCAUGCUGUUUGAAGCAAGUAGAUUUUGGUGUAGGAACAUUAUAAGUUACAGUAGUCUUUAAAUGAUGUUCUUUCAAUUUACUUCAAAUGUUUUGAUUCAGGCUGCUCUUAAAAAGCCACUGUGUUUCUAGAUACAAGGAUUCUGAAUUAAACAUGGGUGAAAGUAGGUGUGUUGAUCGAAGCAUUUUAAAGUAGUAGCUAGUUUUCACACUCGGUUUCUUGUUUAGUAUCCUUUAUGCAUUGUACAAGUUCAUGUUAACAAUCAUUCUUGCAAUUAACUUCAGGGCUUGUAAGCAAUAGGCUUGUUCAUUUUCAAGCAUUUCCCCUUCAACAUGACUGACAGGCGCGAUCUAUGAGAUUGGGAUAUUAUUGAAUGUACUUCUAAGGAUCUUCAUAGAGAAUCCCUUGUAUGUUUUUGUGUUGCCAUGUUAGUAUGAAUCAUUUGAAGAGGUUCGAUUUAGUGGCCAAACUUUGUUAUUGUAGCCACUAUAACUCUCUUCGUGGCGAUUUGUGUUUAUUUGUUGCAGGUGACCAUCUUUAAUCGGCUAACUGCUGAGAAGUAAAUGUGAGGGAAAUUUGAUAGUCGAUAUGAAUGAUCUUGAUAGGAAUCAUUUUGUCAUUAUUUUGGAAGUAUUAUUGAAGGACCUGAUUUAUUAAUAAAUACAUAGCAAUCACAGAUGUUUUCAUGUCUUGCUGAUUUUAGGUUCAUGAAUUGUAGUGUUGGUGAAAUCAAUUCUUAAACAUAGUACUAUAACUUCAUACGUAUAAGUCAACAUCAUACAUUAUGUGUGACCAAUUUUUGGAUCUAUUUCUUGGACAAAGGUUCUUUAGUUUUGAACUUUAGUGUAUGAAAGGUUCCCUCAACUUGGUCUCAUUGUAUUUUCCAAGGAUUAUGUUAACUUAUCCUAAUUCUUGUCAGCACUGAAACUUAUAAAGCAUCUGUUCAAGAAAGGCUCCAUAAGAUUCCACAAAACUUUCUUUCACUCCAUAAUUCAUGAUGUCUAAGAGAAAGAGAGCUGAAGAUUACAAAUUAGAAGAAAAGUGAAAAUCAGCAAUCAAUUCCAAAUAAUCUUCUGGUUUUCACUGAGUGAGUGAAGACUGAAUUUUGUAGGGUAGAUAUGAUAGGUAGCGGAUAUAUAUAUAUAUACAUUCUUUAACUUCUGUUUCUUUUGGCUUCCACGUUUGUGGCUUCUUUCAGAGCUUGUUGGGCUUCAUUUUCCAUCCCCAGCGUAAACAGGGAAGCUGCUUGAAGAUGCAAGGCCGUAGGCCAAUCCGGUGACACCACCAGUGCCUGCACAGCAUCUGCCAAAGCUUGAUCAGGCAUUUCACUCAUCAAGUAGCACCAGCAGCGGCGAGCAUACACGGUAGGCGACACCAUUGUUCCACCAUCUAUGAACUGCACCAUCAGAUGAAAGAUCAAUUAAUAGAAUGAAUGAAACCGAACAGUGCAAUAGCAAUUCUCUUGAGUUCAUACCUGUGUGAAGUAGUCAAUAGCAGCCAUGAAAUCCUUGGCGCGAAAAGCUGCAUCCCCUUGCUUCUUGGAGUUCAGAGUCUCCUGCAUUUGGUUUGUCCACAUCUGAAAAGAUAGCUGCAUCAAAAGGGACAUGAGAGAAGUGACGAGAGACUUUGCAUUCGGCCUCUCCCUUGCCUCAUACUGCAAGCAACGCGUUGCUAACCUCACCAGCUCGGUCCCAUCAUCAUUCGAAAAGUGACCCUCCAAGCACGAAUCCAUCAGCAUCAGGAAAUUCUUGCCGCGGAUAAGAUCAAGUGCCUGUAACCAAUCCGAAUUGGCAUCAGUUAUGAUCAAGGUUAAUUAAGAUUUAGCCAACACUUCCAUCAAAGCUUAGAUCAAUACAUGGCUUGGAGGAAUAUGCUUCCCACUAAGAAGAUCAAGCAACAUGGUCCCAAAGCUGUAAACUACACUCUCCGGGGUUACUCUCCCUGCAAGAUGACGAAAAGUAAACUGUAAAGAGCAAUCAAUACCCUCAGAAGGUUAACCAAAUGGUGGAAGCCAUGCAAACCUGUUCUCAAAUACUCAGGAGGAGUGAACGCCAAGUUUGUGCUGUAACUCUUCCCAUCUCUGCUGUUCUUCAUCAGGCCGAAACAAGAAAGUCUGGGAUUUCCAUCCUACAUAAGCAAUUGGAUCAUCAGUAAAUGAGAAGCUCGAUUGAUAAAGAGAAGGGACUGAUAAUUGAUUGAUUAUGGGAAGAAGGCAUUGUGUGGCAAACCUGAUCAAACAGCACUCUGUAAGCAUUGAGAUCAUGGUACAAUGCUCGACCCCUGGUGCAGCAGUAGUCGAGAGCUUGUGCUAGAUAAAGUGCUACCCUUAACCUCAUUGCCCACUUCAUUGGCUGACUCUCCCCUGUUUUUACGUUCAGCCAUUGUUAAGGUUAAAGUUAAAUCAAGAAAAUGGCUGAGGAUGUAAGGAUCCUACUUACAGUGGAAUAAAUGCUUGGCAAGAGUCUCAUUAGGCAUAAACUCUGCCACCAGCAAUCUCUCCUCCCCUUCAGUGCAACAGCCAAUGAGAUUUGACAAACGUUCACUUCUUAGAUUCCCCACUGCCUUAGCCUCAUCCUUGAAAGCAAACAAAAGCUGUUGUUGUUAGAAGAAGAAACCUGAGAGAUCAGACAUGGAAUAUAAUGGGUAAGGAAAAUGUUAACUACUACUGACUAUGAAUUGCCUGGAAUCAGGCCAGGCAGAUUUGUUGAAGCGUUUGACAGCAAUCCAGCCUUCUUUCUGAAGAAAACCUUUGUAGACAACAUUGGGAGCUUUCUCUCCAUGUUCAGACACAAUGUUGUCUGAGGAAUAUCCAUUUGUUGCUGCUUUGAGCUCUUCCCAGACUUUUGAUAAUUGAAGUGAAAUGAAACUAACCCAGAUCAGAAGAGGACUGAAGCACUGAGGGCUUCAAGUGAGAAUGCCACCAGCAGAAGGAAAACUUUGAGCAUUUGGCCCCCAUUUUGGUAGUGAUCAGGUAAUCAGAAAACUAACUUCAGUCUACAAUUUGGAAUGCUAAUCUCUCUCUCUCUCUCUAGUUCUUGUGUGUGAGAAAGGGAUUUUUUUGGGGUUUUGUAGAUCCAAGAAUAGUGCUGUUUGUACUGCUCACUGGAGUGCUAAAAAAAGCUUUCAGCUUUUCA